CUGGUGAGUGUGUCAUGGGCUUGGUCAUUUUCGGCCGGCCUCUGGAGUCCGCUUAGCUGCGGGUCCUUGCUUCUUCGGGAGUAGGGAUGUGCGUUGCGCUUGUCAAGUGCUGUGCGCUCUGGAGGUUGCCGGGCUGGCUCGCCGGUGCACUUUCUCGGAGUGGUCACCACGACCGGCGUUGUUGUCUUGCUGCUGUGGUCGAACCGGCUGGGUUUGGUCCUUGUGGCUGAACUUGGUCGGGAUGGCAGGUAGCUCAUUGGUUGGCUUGUCCAGUCUUUGGGUGUAAUCAGCUGUCUGCAGUGGUAUUGUGCAAUGCGUCGGAGACUGCGGCUUUAGGUAUUUGCUUUCGUGCCGUUGGCUGGCAGUGUUGGGUUUGACUGGCGUGUUACCUGCUUCGGUGGGUCCGUCGGUAGCUCAGUGCUGUUCGGUUAGCGGUUGCUUAAGUGAUAUCGUACAUGGGCCCAUAGUCUGUGGUGUAGCAGCAAACGAUCCCCCUGACCCGUCUUGAAACACGGACCAAGGAGUUUAACAUGUGCGCGAGUCAUUGGGCGUUACGAAACCCAAAGGCGCAGUGAAAGUAAAGGUUCGGCUUGUCCGAGCUGAGGUGAGAUCCUGUAGCUUUUCGUGCGAGGUACCACCAAGCAGUGAGCUAUGGGCGCAUCACCAGCCCGUCUCAUGGUGUGGUCAUGUAGCCUUGUGUUGCGUGCAUCACCGGGGCGGAGCCUGAGCGCACACGUUGAGACCCGAAAGAUGGUGAACUAUGCUUGCGCAGGUUGAAGCCAGAGGAAACUCUGGUGGAGGACCGCAGCGAUUCUGACGUGCAAAUCGAUCGUCUAACGUGAGUAU
rnacentral:rRNA from 1 species